AAGUUUUGAGACUCUUCUCCUUCACUUUCCCCUCUUUUUUCUCUUCUUCAACAGACUAAAGAGAAACGGCUCCACCACCAUUUUGAGCCAAACUUCGACUUCAGAGGUUCCUCUUGUGCCGCGACGGUCAUGGAGACAUGGGAGCAAAGCGCACGGAUAUGAGGCGAGCCAUGCGCGAGUCGGUGAUCGUGCAUAGUGCGUGGAGGCUGCUGGUGGCCACUGCUGCGGCGCGAAACAUAUGAAAACCCUAGGUUUUCCGAAAUUGGGCCUAUUAGUGUUGGGCCAUUUGUAACUUGACUUGUAUUUUGGGCCGUUUUAUGUUUUAUCUUUGAAUAUAUAUGGGCCCGGGCUAAAAAUUGGGUCUACACCUUCUAUUUAA